AUUGAACGCUGGCGGCAUGCCUUACACAUGCAAGUCGAACGGAAAGGCCCUUCGGGGUGCUCGAGUGGCGAACGGGUGAGUAACACGUGGGUGAUCUGCCCUGCACUUUGGGAUAAGCCUGGGAAACUGGGUCUAAUACCGGAUAGGACUACGCACUGCAUGGUGUGUGGUGGAAAGCUUUUGCGGUGUGAGAUGGGCCCGCGGCCUAUCAGCUUGUUGGUGGGGUGAUGGCCUACCAAGGCGUCGACGGGUAGCCGGCCUGAGGGGGUGUCCGGCCACACUGGGACUGAGAUACGGCCCAGACUCCUACGGGAGGCAGCAGUGGGGAAUAUUGCACAAUGGGCGCAAGCCUGAUGCAGCGACGCCGCGUGGGGAUGACGGCCUUCGGGUUGUAAACCCCUUUCAGCACAGACGAAGCGCAAGUGACGGUAUGUGCAGAAGAAGCACCGGCCAACUACGUGCCAGCCGCCGCAGUAAAAC
rnacentral:rRNA from 1 species